GUACCAUCUUGGUAUCCGGAUCGAUUUGUGAUGUAACUCCAAUUACAUGCAUGCAUGUCAGUGCUGAGUCGUUUUUUCUUCCUUCCAAAUUUCGUUAUGUGUUUUUGUUACCUUGUAUAUGCACAACAGGUUUGGUUGAAGCCUUGAAGGUAAUGAGGUGUUGAAUUUUUCUCUCUUACAAUUCAUACUUUGGUUCGUAAUUUUGGUAAUGCUCUGCAAUGGCAUGCUGGUUGCGUAAUUCUUGAAUAGGUUCAGUGUUAGCUACCUUUUCAAGGAUCAUCCUAUUGUCCAGGUUGAUAAAUUUAUACCUGUAACCUUUACCUCUAGACUAUUAUGCUUGAAGUCAUAGAUUGCAAAAGAAAAGCAGAUCUGUUAUUCUGGCUGUCUCAAAACCAUACUAGCAAAGAGGGCUCUCUGAUCUAAACCUGAAAUUAUUUUCUUGAUAUAUGGAUGUACCACUUACAACUAGAUUCAAGCUACUGUAAUAAAUAGAGGAGAGAAUUCAAAUUGUCACUAAUUCUUUAUAGCAUUAGUAACCGAGAAAAUAAUGUCGUGUUGCCAUGAGCUAAAUUAGGUUUCUGUGCAUUGCAGUUUGAGUGAAGCACUUGUCAUGCAGGCUAUUGAUGUGCAUACUACAGAGGUAAAUAAUAUUAACAGUUGUAUUUCUUUUUGUUACUCAUACUUUGAAGCUGUGAGUUCUGCUUGGGCAGGCCGUCUUUGUAGAUGUCGACUUUGAUUGCCCCUUUCGCUAAAUCUUGAGUUGUAGGUCUUUGACUGUUUGCUACUUCAGAACAGUGAUUGACUUCUGCUAAGCGUAGGCCUUGUUCGUGUUGAGGGUGAGUAGCCAUGUCGGACCAGCAGCAGCAUAGUGGAAUUGCCAUGGUUUUCUAAUGCAUUUUUUUUGGGACAGUGGAGUAGUGGACAAUGAACGGUGAGGCUUGUCAAACUUGUGGCGGCUUGUUAUUCCCAUCCUCAAACAUCUGGUAGGUGAUCUCCGCGCUGGUGGCAAGACCAGAGAGGAUCCUAAUGGGUGAUGGCAGAGCUGCUGCUGAUCAGUCUCCGAUGGAGGGCUGCUUUGGUCUAGUAUUUUUUUUUUACUAAUUCUAAGUAGAACUUCCAAUUUCAAACUAGUUAAUAACUAAAAUUAAUAAUUAAGAUCUAAUGUUUUCAGAUUCCCUAUAUAUAUGAAGACUCACUUGCUACAACUCUGGUGGGUUCCAUUCCCUUAACCAACCCACUGGCUAUGAGUUGCCGGCUCAUUCUUCAACAGGCACGCUGUCAGAGAAUGGGUACAUGGACAUGGACAGAUAUGCAGUGAGACUGGGGGAUGCCUAGUGUGCUUGAAGCUGCCACCAGUUUGUGCUGUUUCUUUCGCUGAUGUAUGUAGCUUCUAAGACAAUAGAUAGUUAGGUUGUUGUGGGAAGAUUGAUUGUUGCUGGGGUUUCAGACCUGUUUUUCUUUUGAUUUGCUGCGCAGAGUGGUUUGCUAGGUGUUGUUUUGCAUGGACGUAAGAUGAUGUAAAACUUUUAUAUCUUGUUGCAAGGCAUGAUGGGCAAGGGAACUUGUCCCUUGAAGAACUCUAAUAAAAAAACUACCAAUAAACACACCUUUCAUA